rnacentral:rRNA from 1 species
UACGGAGGAUGCAAGCGUUAUCCGGAAUGAUUGGGCGUAAAGCGUCCGCAGGUGGCAAUGUAAGUCUGCUGUCAAAGCGUCUGGCUCAACCAGAUAAAGGCAGUGGAAACUACAUAGCUAGAGUAAGGUAGGGGUAGAGGGAAUUCCUGGUGUAGCGGUGAAAUGCGUAGAGAUCAGGAGGAACACCGGUGGCGAAGGCGGGUCUCUGGAACGCAACUGACGCUGAGACGCGAAAGCGUGGGGAGCAAACAGG